rnacentral:rRNA from 1 species
GAGUAAUGUCUGGGAAACUGCCUGAUGGAGGGGGAUAACUACUGGAAACGGUGGCUAAUACCGCAUAACGUCGCAAGACCAAAGAGGGGGACCUUCGGGCCUCUUGCCAUCAGAUGUGCCCAGAUGGGAUUAGCUUGUUGGUGAGGUAACGGCUCACCAAGGCGACGAUCCCUAGCUGGUCUGAGAGGAUGACCAGCCACACUGGAACUGAGACACGGUCCAGACUCCUACGGGAGGCAGCAGUGGGGAAUAUUGCACAAUGGGCGCAAGCCUGAUGCAGCCAUGCCGCGUGUAUGAAGAAGGCCUUCGGGUUGUAAAGUACUUUCAGCGGGGAGGAAGGUGUUGCGGUUAAUAACCGCAGCAAUUGACGUUACCCGCAGAAGAAGCACCGGCUAACUCCGUGCCAGCAGCCGCGGUAAUACGGAGGGUGCAAGCGUUAAUCGGAAUUACUGGGCGUAAAGCGCACGCAGGCGGUCUGUCAAGUCGGAUGUGAAAUCCCCGGGCUCAACCUGGGAACUGCAUUCGAAACUGGCAGGCUUGAGUCUUGUAGAGGGGGGUAGAAUUCCAGGUGUAGCGGUGAAAUGCGUAGAGAUCUGGAGGAAUACCGGUGGCGAAGGCGGCCCCCUGGACAAAGACUGACGCUCAGGUGCGAAAGCGUGGGGAGCAAACAGGAUUAGAUACCCUGGUAGUCCACGCCGUAAACGAUGUCUACUUGGAGGUUGUGCCCUUGAGGCGUGGCUUCCGGAGCUAACGCGUUAAGUAGACCGCCUGGGGAGUACGGCCGCAAGGUUAAAACUCAAAUGAAUUGACGGGGGCCCGCACAAGCGGUGGAGCAUGUGGUUUAAUUCGAUGCAACGCGAAGAACCUUACCUGGUCUUGACAUCCACAGAACUUUCCAGAGAUGGAUUGGUGCCUUCGGGAACUGUGAGACAGGUGCUGCAUGGCUGUCGUCAGCUCGUGUUGUGAAAUGUUGGGUUAAGUCCCGCAACGAGCGCAACCCUUAUCCUUUGUUGCCAGCGGUUAGGCCGGGAACUCAAAGGAGACUGCCAGUGAUAAACUGGAGGAAGGUGGGGAUGACGUCAAGUCAUCAUGGCCCUUACGACCAGGGCUACACACGUGCUACAAUGGCGCAUACAAAGAGAAGCGACCUCGCGAGAGCAAGCGGACCUCAUAAAGUGCGUCGUAGUCCGGAUUGGAGUCUGCAACUCGACUCCAUGAAGUCGGAAUCGCUAGUAAUCGUGGAUCAGAAUGCCACGGUGAAUACGUUCCCGGGCCUUGUACACACCGCCCGUCACACCAUGGGAGUGGGUUGCAAAAGAAGUAGGUAGCUUAACCUUCGGGAGGGCGCUUACCACUUUGUGAUUCAUGACUGGGGUGAAGUCGUAACAAGGUAACCGUAGGGGAACCUGCGGUUGGAUCACCUCCUUACCUUAAAGAA